UGGAUGAUGUGGAUUAAUCGAUGCAACGCGAAGAACCUUACUACCCUUGACAUGUCCGGAACUUGCCAGAGAUGGCUUGGUGCCCGAAAGGGAAUCGGAACACAGGUGCUGCAUGGCUGUCGUCAGCUCGUGUCGUGAGAUGUUGGGUUAAGUCCCGCAACGAGCGCAACCCUUAUCAUUAGUUGCUACGCAAGGGCACUCUAAUGAGACUGCCGGUGACAAACCGGAGGAAGGUGGGGAUGACGUCAAGUCCUCAUGGCCCUUAUGGGUAGGGCUUCACACGUCAUACAAUGGUCGGUACAGAGGGUUGCCAAGCCGCGAGGCGGAGCCAAUCCCACAAAGCCGAUCGUAGUCCGGAUCGCAGUCUGCAACUCGACUGCGUGAAGUCGGAAUCGCUAGUAAUCGUGGAUCAGCAUGUCACGGUGAAUACGUUCCCGGGUCUU
rnacentral:rRNA from 1 species